AUGAUUUUCAUUCAAAAUCACUUCUUAGAUGCAUUAUUCCAAAUUAUAAGUUAUUAUUUAACAAAGCUCGAGGCCAAACAGCAAUUUAUAAAAACUCAGAGAUUCUAUUACAGAGUAUUGUUUAUCUAAUAAUUUGAUACCAAAAAGUAAAAAUAUCUUAGGUUAGCGGAAGAAAUUAUGCAUUAUGUAAAAAUUUUUAAGAAAUUGAGUGGCUUAUUCAUAAUGAAUCACCCUACACAAAACUGAAGAAACUCAAGUAAUCAAUAAAUUGCAAAAUAUUAAUAAAAUUAAAGAUAUCAAAACUGUGUUUUCUAACGGGACAUAUUCGGAAAGACGGAGUUUUUGGAGUUUUUUUUUGGGCGGAGUCUUAGCAAAACGGUGUUUAGUUUUCCAAUAAUAAACUCUCACUGUACAGAAUUUUUAACAAUACAUACAAAAAUCACAAAUCGUAUUGUUAUAAAAUAAAAAAAAUGAAGCAAUGGUAGAUUUUAUCAUACAUUAAAAGAGGUGUGAAUAUUGUAAUAAAAUAGAAAGAAGUAUGGCUGGGUAGGUGUUAUGAUUUGAAAAUAUGUAAAUACUGGGACUGUAAAUAAAAUAAAUCUAAUUAGACUUUGAAGUGGAUAAUAAUACAUUUAAAUACAGGAGUUUAAAAAAUAUAAGAAAUAAACAAAACAUAAAAUAUGGCCAGAUGAUAAAGAGAAUAUACUAAAGCGAAGGUGUACAUGCAUAGCAAAUAAAGUUUCUAAAGCUAUACUAUUCAAAAUUUUACGGCUAUUGAUUUUUUUUAUCAGCUAUACUUUAUGAAAGAAAUAAUGUGGGUUUACUUAAAAUGCGACUGUCUGAUUGUUGGAUUCAAGCUUUAUUAACAGAAUUAAUGAUAUUUAUACAAUUGGUAAACACAAAUGAAACAUUCACAUUGCACGUAUUUGAUUGUAAAGAGGAUGACAACCAAAUAAUGUUUUAACGAUAAUAUUUUUGAAUUAGUCUAGUUGCAAUGUAAUUUUAUUAAUCUCGAAAAGAAUAUACUAGUUGAUUUGAAAUCAGUCCUUAAUAUUUUAUUAUGAAUUGCUUAGAAAUAUAAUUUCUUGCCUUGUUUUUUAGCUAGCUUAAUCGUUUUUAUAAAUAUAUAUGCCAAAAUAAAAGAACUGACAUUAAUCUAUUUAGUUACUUCAUACUUUUGUAAGAAUGGUUAAACUUGAA